CCUACGGGAGGCAGCAGUGGGGAAUAUUGCACAAUGGGGGAAACCCUGAUGCAGCAACGCCGCGUGAGUGAAGAAGUAUUUCGGUAUGUAAAGCUCUAUCAGCAGGGAAGAUAAUGACGGUACCUGACUAAGAAGCUCCGGCUAAAUACGUGCCAGCAGCCGCGGUAAUACGUAUGGAGCAAGCGUUAUCCGGAUUUACUGGGUGUAAAGGGAGCGUAGACGGUGUGGCAAGUCUGAUGUGAAAGGCAUGGGCUCAACCUGUGGACUGCAUUGGAAACUGUCAUACUUGAGUGCCGGAGGGGUAAGCGGAAUUCCUAGUGUAGCGGUGAAAUGCGUAGAUAUUAGGAGGAACACCAGUGGCGAAGGCGGCCUGCUGGACUGUUACUGACACUGAGGCACGAAAGCGUGGGGAGCAAACAGGAUU
rnacentral:rRNA from 1 species